rnacentral:rRNA from 1 species
AUUGAACGCUGGCGGCAUGCUUUACACAUGCAAGUCGAACGGCAGCGGGGGCUUCGGCCCGCCGGCGAGUGGCGAACGGGUGAGUAAUGCAUCGGAACGUGCCCAGUCGUGGGGGAUAACACAUCGAAAGAUGUGCUAAUACCGCAUACGUCCUGAGGGAGAAAGCGGGGGAUCUUCGGACCUCGCGCGAUUGGAGCGGCCGAUGUCGGAUUAGCUAGUUGGUGGGGUAAAAGCCCACCAAGGCGACGAUCCGUAGCGGGUCUGAGAGGAUGAUCCGCCACACUGGGACUGAGACACGGCCCAGACUCCUACGGGAGGCAGCAGUGGGGAAUUUUGGACAAUGGGGGCAACCCUGAUCCAGCCAUGCCGCGUGAGUGAAG